UGCGUAGGGACCAAGCGUUGUUCGGAUUUACUGGGCGUAAAGGGCGCGUAGGCGGCGCGGUAAGUCACUUGUGAAAUCUCUGAGCUUAACUCAGAACGGCCAAGUGAUACUGCAGUGCUAGAGUGUGGAAGGGGCAAUCGGAAUUCUUGGUGUAGCGGUGAAAUGCGUAGAUAUCAAGAGGAACACCUGAGGUGAAGACGGGUUGCUGGGCCAACACUGACGCUGAGGCGCGAAAGCCAGGGGAGCAAACGGG
rnacentral:rRNA from 1 species